AGUGACAGAAACGAAACUAACGUGGAUGUCCAACCUUGCAUUUCCAUCUUGGUUUUGUAAGCAUUGGACGUUCACGUGUUGCAAGAAAUCAUGUGUGCGGAACUAUGAUCGGUUAGGGUUUGGUCCCAUUUUGUCCGAAUCAAAAAUGUCCCUUACGAAAGUCUGUCGUGCACCGUGUUGAAUUGAGGAUGAUCCUCAUCCAAUGUGGUGCCUUCGGCGAAAAGGAAUGCUACCUGGUUGAUCCUGCCAG
rnacentral:misc_RNA from 1 species